ACGGGAGGCAGCAGUGGGGAAUAUUGGGCAAUGGGCGAAAGCCUGACCCAGCAACGCCGCGUGAAGGAAGAAGGUCUUCGGAUUGUAAACUUCUUUUAUGAGGGACGAAGGACGUGACGGUACCUCAUGAAUAAGCCACGGCUAACUAUGUGCCAGCAGCCACGGUAAUACAUAGGGAGCAAGCGUUAUCCGGACUUACUGGGUGUAAAGGGUGCGUAGGCGGCAUGGUAAGUCAGUCGUUAAAGACCAGAGCUUAACUCUGGACCAGCGAUUGAAACUAUCAAGCUAGAGUACAGGAGAGGUUAGUGGAAUUACUAGUGUAGAGGUGGAAUUCAUAGAUAUUAGUAAGAACACCAAUGGCGAAGGCAGCUAACUGGCCUGAAACUGACGCUGAGGCACGAAAGUGUGGGGAGCAAACAGGAUUAGAUACCCUGGUA
rnacentral:rRNA from 1 species